rnacentral:rRNA from 1 species
UACGUAGGGCGCAAGCGUUAUCCGGAAUUAUUGGGCGUAAAGAGCUCGUAGGCGGUGUGUCACGUCGGCCGUGAAAACCUGCAGCUUAACUGUGGGCGUGCGGUCGAUACGGGCAUCACUGGAGUUCGGCAGGGGAGACUGGAAUUCCUGGUGUAGCGGUGAAAUGCGCAGAUAUCAGGAGGAACACCGGUGGCGAAGGCGGGUCUCUGGGCCGAUACUGACGCUGGAGGAGCGAAAGCGUUGGGGAGCAAACAGG